AAAAAUUUAGUUUAAUAAAAAUAUUAAUUUGUCAAAUUAAAGUUGUUAAAAAACAAUUUUUG
rnacentral:tRNA from 1 species